UCCUUAUCUCUGGCUAAGGUGAGCAAGAGCAUUCUGUCUUUACCUCUGGCUCAGGUGCACAAGAAAUGAUUGUGGUUAAAUCAGUAUUUCGGAAAUAGGUAUGACGUUCAUAUUGACUGGGCGAGUUACGUGCGACACUCAAUUACCACCAUAUAAGAAACUAGGAUUGAUUUAUUUAAAGGUAUUGGGGUCCAGUGGACAUCAUGUGUAAUAAAUGUUAUGAAUUUAAAUAGCUUCCUACUAGUUGUCACGAAAUAUUUUCCUCUGAAUGAGAUUCACAUAUCAGUAUCACGUCUAAUGCUUACCUUGUCUUGUGCAGCACAAUGAAUACAUGAGGCAUCGAUACAUUGAGCUCUUCCUAACCUCCUCCCCAGAAGAUGAUGGAUUCAAUAACAUCAACAUGGGUGGUAUGGUCACCAACCUGAAUGUCAGCACUUGAAGUUUCAACUCUAAUAACGCUGGUGGAGAUUAUGCUGGCAAUCGUACUGGCAUGGCCUACUGCAUGGCCAAUUCAUUGCUCCACCUAAUAUUUAUUUCUCACGCAGGACGAGUGUCGGAAACUUUUAAUUAACUUAAACUUUAAACUUAACGGAAAUUAAACUUUAAACUUAAACGGAAACUUUAAUUAAAAUUCUCACCAUCAUGUAAGUACUAAAUACUCCAUGCAUUUGUUGGUACGUGCUCUCAAUAGUGCUGGUUGUUUUCGAGUGAGAAUUUUCCAAACAUGGUUAUUUAUUUUUAGGAUGUAAUAUUUUUAUUUGUGAUCAGUUUUUUGUAGACGAUUUUCUCAGAUUUAACGUUCAGAAGUUAUAUUAUAAAUGAGCUUGCGAAUGAGUUGUGAGCUAAGGAAAAAUAUAAAUUUUAUUUUAGUAUUAUUAAGUAAGUAGUUAAGUAUCAAGCGACGUUACCGAAAAUUCUCGGUGCAGUAAUGAUACUUUGCGUAUGUGACCAAGACAUUAAUAUAUAUUGUUCCUUAUCUGUUGCUAAACCUAAAGUGAGAAAUCUGAUAA